rnacentral:rRNA from 1 species
UACGUAGGGGGCAAGCGUUGUCCGGAAUCAUUGGGCGUAAAGCGCGUGUAGGCGGCUCGGAAAGUCUGGUGUGAAAUCUUGAGGCUCAACCUUAAGCUGUCACUGGAAACUAACGGGCUUGAGUCCGGAAGAGGAGAGUGGAAUUCCUGGUGUAGCGGUGGAAUGCGCAGAUAUCAGGAGGAACACCUAUGGCGAAGGCAGCUCUCUGGUACGUGACUGACGCUGAGACGCGAAAGCGUGGGGAGCAAACAGG